UCUCCGUAGGUGAACCUGCGGAGGGAUCAUUACCAGAGAUGGCGGGCCCCCGCGCCCCCGUCCCCAACCCUUUGUUGACCUAACCCAUUUUGCCUCGGGGGCAGAGCGUCCGCCGCCGCCCCCGGAGGACCACCGAACGCUGUCUCUGUACGUCGGAGUAUUGAUUAAAUGAAUGAAAACUUUCAACAACGGAUCUCUUGGUUCUGGCAUCGAUGAAGAACGCAGC
rnacentral:misc_RNA from 1 species